UACAGAGGGUGCAAGCGUUAAUCGGAAUUACUGGGCGUAAAGCGCACGUAGGCGGUUUUUUAAGUCAGAUGUGAAAGCCCCGGGCUCAACCUGGGAAUUGCAUUUGAAACUGGGGAACUAGAGUGUGUGAGAGGGGGGUAGAAUUCCGCGUGUAGCAGUGAAAUGCGUAGAUAUGCGGAGGAACACCGAUGGCGAAGGCAGCUGGCUACACAUUUAUUGACACUGAGGCACGAAAGCGUGGGGAGCGAACAGG
rnacentral:rRNA from 1 species